CCCUUCUCACGAGCUCCUCUCCGUCUGAUCGGUGACGGGGCGUGGAUUCGCACGAGAAGAACAGUGACACUCACAUUUAUAACGAGUCUCUCCCGCACGUCAGGAGUCACUUAUGUCUGGUGUGAGACAAAC